rnacentral:rRNA from 1 species
AAACUUCACACUGGGGGCAACCCCGAUGAGGGAAAUCCUAGUGCUAGGACAUUUGUUCUAGCUUUUCUCAAGCGUAGAUAACUUGAGGAAUAAGGGCUGGGUAAGACGGGUGCCAGCCGCCGCGGUAAUACCUGCAGCCCAAGUGGUGGUCGAUUUUAUUGAGUCUAAAACGUUCGUAGCCGGUUUGGUAAAUCUUUGGGUAAAUCGGGAGGCUCAACUUUCCGACUUCCGAAGAGACUGUCAAACUUGGGACCGGGAGAGGCUAGAGGUACUUCUGGGGUAGGGGUAAAAUCCUGUAAUCCUAGAAGGACCACCGGUGGCGAAGGCGUCUAGCUAGAACGGAUCCGACGGUGAGGGACGAAGCCCUGGGUCGCAAACGGGAUUAGAUACCCCGGUAGUCCAGGGUGUAAACGCUGCCGACUUGGUGUUGGAGGCCCUUCGGGGCCGAUUCAGUGCCGGAGAGAAGUUGUUAAGUCGGCUACUUGGGGAGUACGUCCGCAAGGAAGAAACUUAAAGGAAGU